CCCCUUCCAAUUUGUAAGUCGCUCUGGAUAAGAGCGUCUGCUAAAUGACUUAAA
rfam:Salmo salar isolate Sally breed double haploid chromosome ssa26, whole genome shotgun sequence.